rnacentral:rRNA from 1 species
AAAGAUUAAGCCAUGCAUGUCUAAGUAUAAACGAUCUAAUCGUGAAACCGCGAAUGGCUCAUUAUAACAGCUAUAAUUUACUUGAUCUUGACACUAUCCUACUUGGAUAACUGUGGUAAUUCUAGAGCUAAUACAUGCACUAAAGCUCUGACCUCACGGGAAGAGUGCACUUAUUAGAACAAAACCAAGCGGCUUCGGCUGUUUUCGGUUGACUCAUAGUAACUGAGCUGAUCGCACGGUCUUGCACCGGCGACGUGUCUUUCAAGUAUCUGCCGUAUCAACUUUCGAUGGUAGUGUAUCUGACUACCAUGGUGAUCACGCGUAACGGAGAAUAAGGGUUCGGCUCCGGAGAGUUCGCCUGAGAAAUCGCGAACACAUCUAAGGAAGGCAGCAGGCGCGAAAAUUACCCACUCUCAGCACGAGGAGGUAGUGACGAAAAAUAACGAGACCGUUCUCUUAUGAGGCCGGUCAUCGGAAUGGGUACAAUUUAAACCCUUUAACGAGUAUCUAUGAGAGGGCAAGUCUGGUGCCAGCAGCCGCGGUAAUUCCAGCUCUCAAAGUGCAUAGAGUUAUUGCUGCGGUUAAAAAGCUCGUAGUUGGAUCUGUGCCAUAGGACGUGGUCCACCUUCUGGGUGCGUACUAUGUUCCUAGGCUUUUUGCUGGUUUUCCCGUCGUAGCCUUCAUUGGUUGCGGCGGGUGGCUGGCGAGUUUACUUUGAGAAAAUCAGAGUGCUCAACACAGGCGUAUCGCUUGAAUGAUUGUGCAUGGAAUAAUAGAAAAGGAUUUCGGUCCUCUUUUAUUGGUUUUGUGGACUGAGAUAAUGGUUAACAGGGACCAACGGGGGCAUUCGUAUCGCUGCGUGAGAGGUGAAAUUCUUGGACCGUAGCGAGACGCCCUACUGCGAAAGCAUUUGCCAAGAAUG